UACAGAGGUGGCAAGCGUUGUUCGGAAUUACUGGGCGUAAAGGGCGCGUAGGCGGUUCGAUAAGUCCCGUGUGAAAUCGCCCGGCUCAACUGGGCGCGGUCGGUGGAAACUGGUCAACUGGAGGACGGUAGAGGCGAGUGGAAUUCCCGGUGUAGCGGUGAAAUGCGCAGAUAUCGGGAGGAACACCAAUGGCGAAGGCAGCUUGCUGGGACGGUACUGACGCUGAGGCGCGAAAGCGUGGGGAGCAAACAGGG
rnacentral:rRNA from 1 species